AUUUAUAAAGUUUUAAAAACAUUUCAUUUUCAUUGAAAAGAGAGAUUUAUAUCUUAUAAAUU
rnacentral:tRNA from 1 species